rnacentral:rRNA from 1 species
CCUACGGGGGGCAGCAGUGAGGAAUAUUGGUCAAUGGACGCAAGACUGAACCAGCCAUGCCGCGUGAAGGAGGAAGGCUCAGAGGAUUGUAAACUUCUUUUGUAAGGGAAUAAAGACUGAUACGAGUCCCCGGCUGAGAGUAUCUGAAGAAUAAGCAUCGGCUAACUCCGUGCCAGCAGCCGCGGUAAUACGGAGGAUUCAAGCGUUAUCCGGAUUUAUUGGGUUUAAAGGGUGCGGAGGCGGGCUGAUAAGUUAGAGGUGAAAGCCCGGGGCUCAACACCGGCACCGCCUCUGAGACUGGUCGUCUAGAGAGGAGGUGAGGGAGGCGGAAUGUAGGGUGUAGCGGUGAAAUGCAUAGAGAUCAGACAGAACACCGAUGGCGAAGGCAGCUUACCAGGCUAACUCUGACGCUGAGGCACGAAAGCGUGGGGAGCAAACAGGAUUAGAGACCCGUGUAGUC